GUAGACAAUAGAUCAACGAGUCUUGUUUUUUUAUACAAUCAGCCAGGGUAUGUUUUUUGACUGGAGAAUUUAGUCCAUUUAGAUUCAAUGUUAUUAUUGAUAAGUAAGGACUUACUCCUGCCAUUUUGUUAUUUGUUUUCCAGUUGUUCUAUGGUUUUACCCUUCUUCUUUCUUUCCUUCCUGUCUUCCUCUAGAUAAGGUGAUUUUUCUCUGGUGGUAUGAUUUAGUUUCUUGCUUUUGUUUGUUGUAUAUCCACUGUAUUUUUAUUUUUUAUAUAUCCACUGUGUUUUUUGGUUUAAAGUUACCAUGAGGCUUGCAAAUAUUAUUUUAUAACCCAUUAUUUUAACCUGAUAACAACUUACACAAUUUGUAUCAAAAAACAAGCAAAAGGAAAACUAAUGAAAAAUCUUUGCUUACCUUCAUCCCUCCACUUUUUAACUUUUUGUUGUUUCCAUUUAUUUCUUACUGUACUGUUUUUAAAAAGCUGUUGUAGUUAUUAUUUUUGAUUUAUUCAUCAUUUAGUCUUUCUACUUAGAAUAAGAGUGGCUGAUGCAUCACAAUUACAGUGUUAUAAUAGUCUUUGUUUUUCUGUGUACUUUCUAUUACCAGUGAGUUUUGUACCUUCAGGUGAUUACUUACUGCGCAUUAAUGUCCUUUGCUUUUCCACUGAAAUACUUACUCCCUUUAGCAUUGCUUGUAGGACAGGCCUGGCAUUGAUGAAACCCCUUAGCUUUGGUUUGUCUGGAAAAGUCUUUAUUUCUUUCUCAUGUAUAAAGGAUGUUUUAAUCAGAUAUGCUAUUCCUUUAGUACUUUAAAUAUGCCAUGCCAUUCUGUAAGGUUUCCACUUAAAAAGUCUGCAGCCAGACUUUGGAGCUCCAUUGUAUGUUAUUUGUUUCUACUUUUAGGAUUUUUUUUUUUUUUUUUGAGUUUGUAGGUGUGUUAUUUUGGGUUUGCUGCAAGGCUGGUUCAACAUAUGCAAAUCAAUAAACAUAAU
rnacentral:lncRNA from 1 species